rnacentral:misc_RNA from 1 species
AAGUCGUAACAAGGUUUCCGUAGGUGAACCUGCGGAAGGGCCACUUGAUUUACCGGGAUUGCUGUUCCGCGUGGGCUAGAAGAACUGUCUGAAGGUUCACAGGGGAAAGUUUUUUUGAUUCGGGACCUCUGUCCGAGUGGUAUCAAGUUAGAAUCCGAACUUGAGCAGUGGCAUGGUUUCCCUACGCAGUGCAGAAGGAUCCACUGAUAAGGAUGACGCCUCACGGUUGCUAGCGGUCGAUCACCGAUCAGCAGACAUGUCACAGGGCUUUACGCCCCUUCGUUCACACCUUGCCUAUUUAAGCCCCGCGGAAACGCCUGGGCUAAAAACCGAACAACUGUUAACAAUGGAUAUCUUGGUUCUC